rnacentral:rRNA from 1 species
CAGGGAAUCUUCGGCAAUGGACGAAAGUCUGACCGAGCAACGCCGCGUGAGUGAAGAAGGUUUUCGGAUCGUAAAACUCUGUUGUUAGAGAAGAACAAGGACGUUAGUAACUGAACGUCCCCUGACGGUAUCUAACCAGAAAGCCACGGCUAACUACGUGCCAGCAGCCGCGGUAAUACGUAGGUGGCAAGCGUUGUCCGGAUUUAUUGGGCGUAAAGCGAGCGCAGGCGGUUUCUUAAGUCUGAUGUGAAAGCCCCCGGCUCAACCGGGGAGGGUCAUUGGAAACUGGGAUACUUGCGUGCAGGGGAGGAAAGUGGAGUUCCAUGUGUAGCGGUGACAUGCGUAUAUAUAUGGAGGAACACCGGUGGCGAAGGCGGCUCUAUGGUCUGUAGCUGCCGCUGAGGCUAGAAAGCGUGGGGAGCAAACAGG